AAAUGUACCUGCUGUACUUUAAUACAACUUUGGUUCUGUUUUGUUUCUUUCCUUGAACUUGAAGAUGCUCCUAGGAAGCAGAGAUACUUAUGGAAUGAAAAUAAGGACAAAUAAGACUUUCUCUAAAUAUCCUGGGAUGAAGGACACUGAAGGGAAAUUGUCAGAUGAGGUUCUGCUGCAGUAGUGGACCCUUCAUCCUACAUGAUUGGUGUCCUUCCCAGAAGGGGAGAGAGAUCCAUGGGAGAAGGCAGCUCCGUGAAGACAGAGGCAGAGAUUGAAGCAGCUGCAAGCCAAAAGACCCCAAGAGUGAAUCUCUAAGAGUUUCAGAAGGAGCACGGCUCUGCUGACACCUUGAUUUUGCACUUCCAAACUUCUGAACUGUCAGCUGGAGGUUGGGCUUGGCUGGAGUGGCUCUGCUUCAAGUGUCUUUCAUGCUCCUUAUACCAGCAGGACAGCUUCGGAGCAUAUUUUUCACAUAUCAUUGGAAGAGCUAUGAGAAAGCAAGUGGAAAGCUCACUUUUGGUACCUAGCCGCCAUACCAUGAGGAAGCCUAAGUCGACUGCAGGAUGACCCACACUGACAGGUCCAUAGCCCUGAUGAGCCCUUGGGUGGUGGCAAGCACCAAUUUGCCGUCUUGAAAUCAGGUCCUGCGGAUCCUAGUCAAGCAGCCCCAAGUGAUGCUGUGAGGAAGAACCCACAGAGAAGUAUAGCAGUAAUUUGUGGAUGGGGCUUUAAAGCAGUCGCCUUUUGCAGGACACCUGCUUCUUUAAGAUAGUUGUAAGAAGACUACAGGCUACAUUUUCACCUCUGAAGUCAUGAAAAUAUGGUAGUAAUUAUCCAAGAUUUUUAACCAUAGUGCAAGAUAUCAAGAAGUUUGAAAUAAAGAAGAGAACGAGGUAACUUUUUGAUCUUUGAGUAAUCAGGAAACGACAAGAGUUUCUGAACCAAACUAUAUUAAUCUCUUAAGUUUUCUGCUUCAUUUGAAAAUUAGGCCACUGCUUCUUUGGCUCCCUGACUUCCCAGAGCACCCUCAUCCUGAGUGUUUUCCUCCAGUAAACACUGGCCUCACCUAUUGGUUUAUUUUUAUCAUUUAAAAAAGCAAACUGCAAUCACAAGUCACGUGUUUGGCAGCCUUCUGUCUUAAAGAAGCAGCACCAGCAUACCUGAAGCCCAGGUGAGCAGAGGUCUGGCCUCAAGACGACAGGGUUGCAGCAGAAGGAGGAACAUAAUGGGCCUUGGAAGGGAAGCCUAUGCAGUGUACGUGGCCAGCACACAUCAACACACGAAAUGAUGGCACCUAGAGGCAGGGGCAGCACUAGAUGUGGUUCCCGUUAGUCCUGCAGAGCACUUUCUGAACUAGAGGAUGAUCUACAAAUAUGAGUUGUUGAAUAAACUGGUCUCAGUGAGAUGUUGCAGUAGUUCAGGCAGUGCUUACGUACCCUGGAGCCAACUCUCAUGUAUGCUAAGAUUGCAAUGAAGAUCCAACAGGACGACAGUCACCAUCAGUGAUGUCAGCUAUAUUAAAGUGAAUAAAAUGGUGGCCUUUGCCAAAAAGCACAGAAGGGCAAUAUGUCAUCCUAAGUCAAUCUAAGUAAAAAGUCAACAAAAUACCUCAAUCCCUCCCCCUACACAUAUGUGAAGCGGAUUGCUGGUCCAGGUCUUGCAGAUGAGGAAAUGAGAUGAAGAAAGUUUACUAGAGACUGUGUCUUCCUGCUGCCUCCUUGCUGCCUGGCCGCUUGGAUACACCCACUUCCUGUGUGACCACACUCUCCCUGGCCACAGGUAUCGGGCCAAGGUAAAUGUUUGCUAGGGACCCCAGGACUCCAAGAGAUUGGUCUGGUAGGAAAGCAUGAGCUAUUGCAAUCUGAUCUUUCCUCUCUGGACAUGGAAU